AACUGCGCCAUUACACUUCCUGCUGUAACGGUUUGAUACAGGAGGAAUAUAUGUGUAUAUGUAGACAGGGGACAUUUUAAACACGGUGUUUAAACCCUAAUGAGUUAAAUACCGAAUAUGUGGCGCUCUGAAAUGUGGAAACACUUCAGUUAAAGUAUCAGAUGUGUUUAUAUGAGGAACAGGAAAGGAUUUUAUUAGUCUGAAUCUACAGAAAGAUAAAGAUGGCGACUGCAAGCAAUGAGUUUAAACUCAUUGGUCCCAGAGCAGAGUUUAAAGACUCUGCUGUCACUCUCUCAUGUCGUCUGUCUCCUGAAAUCAGUGCUGUUGACUUGGAGAUCCGGUGGUUUAAGGAGACAGACUGUGUUUGUGUUUAUAAGAACAGUAAGGUGACAGAGGGGAGAGGUUAUAAGGGCAGAGUGAGUCUGUUCACUCAGGAGCUGGAGAGAGGAAACGUCUCCUUACAGCUGAGAAACUGUAUAGAGUCAGAUAGAGGACAUUACCUCUGUCAGGUCACUGAUGGAGACAGAACAGAAGAGAUUACAGUAGAGAUGAGUAAGUGUUCCUGAUCUCCACACUGUAUAAACUCCACAUCAUCAUCUGUGCUUCUCAUCUCAGUACAUAAACACACUCAGUAUUCAGUGUGAGAUUCAGUAUACAGGCUGCUAAUGUGGAGUGAAGAUCAUUUGAGUUGAAUUAACAGUAACUCUAUUUUUCACUCUUCUACACACCUGCACAAGGGCUUAAAAGCAGCAGCUUGUACAAAUAUGAAGUAACUAGGGAUUUAUUUAUCUAACUUUAUUUAUCUAUUAAUGAGAUUAAUAAGAUUGACUAAAUAUCAGUUUAAACUGAAACAAUCAAAUACUUUUUUUUUACAUCAGAGAGGAAAUUAAAUAACACACUAAAUGUGACAUUUAAAUUAUUACAGUUUCUGUAUAUCCAGUAGAUCAGACUACAUCACUGCCAAAUACAGCACUAAGAACCAAACUACACACAUUUAGGUUAAAGGUAGAGGAAAAAACACAGUCUGGCUGAUGAUUAAGACUUUUGGUGUAAGUAUAUCAUUCUAGUGGCUAAUGUGAGAUGUAUAACAGAUUGAUCCCUGAGGCACUCCAGAUUGAACAACAUUAACCUCAUAUCUAAAUCCACCCAUGGCAAAAAACUGCUUCCGAUCAUUGAGGUAAGACUUAAACCAAUUUAAAACAGUAUCAGAGACACCAAAAACAGUUUCAAGAUGCACUGAGAUCAAGAAGGAUCAAAACUGAAAGACUGCAUCUGAAGCAGUUAACAAGUCAUUGGUAACCCUGACCAUGGCAGUUUCUGUACUAUGGGAUUUUACGAAAGCCAGAUUGCAAAGGCUCAAAGAGAUUGUUCUCAGUUAAAUGAGAAAUUAACUGAGUAGCAACAACUCGCUCCAAAAGUUUAGCAAGAAAGGAGAGAUUAGAUAUGGGACCGAAAUUAGCAAGGUUCUCAAGGUUCUAAGAAGUGGCUGCUUUUAUUUUAAAGACCUCUGCAAAAAGACAAUACGUGUCAAGUGUAGAAAAUAUUGAAAACAUAGAACCAGAAUAACAAGGAAUAAAAACAGCAGAAGAAGACAAUAAAGUAGAAGUACAAAAACCUCUACGAACAUUUUCAACCUUUGUGCUAAAGAAAUGCAGGAAGUUAUUACAGAGAUGAUCAGAAGCAGUAACAUUAGUGAGAGUUUAAUGAUUUAGCAAUUUGUUAAAAGAAUUGAAAAGUUGUCUUGAAUUUCCUUGAUUGUCAUUAAUCAUAUUAGAUAAAUAAUCAGAUCUGGCAGAAACAAUACCAGCCUUAUAUUCUUGUAAGCAAUCUUUCCAUAUUUGAUCUUUCCAUAUUUGAUCACUCCAUUUUACGACAAGAUGUCUUCAUCAUACACAAAUCUUCAUUAUACCAAGGAGCAGGACGUACAAAUAAAACAGAGCGUGACUUUUGAGGAGCAAAUAAUUCCAGGCCAAAUAAGAGAACAGAAUUUAACAUGGAAACCCUUGUCUCUAAAGGAUCAGAUGGAGAGAAACUACUUAAUGAAGAGUCAAUAAAUGCAGUAAAGUCAGAAGUGUCAAUUAACCUCCAUUUCCAGUACAGUUUCCAUGUUAGUGAAUAGAACAUGAUCCAAACUUUUAUUUAAUUUACAGCUCCACAGUCAUUUUAUGAGCUCAGUUCAUCUUAAUAUCUCCUCCAUAUUUUCCCUACAAUAAAUGUGUUUUAUAAGAUUUAUAUGGUGAUAAUUAACAGGACAGUGUUGAUGAGGUUGACUAAGGCAGCUAACACUAACUCAGAUUCAUACUAAUUUAUUGUGUGUAUGAUUUUAGAUAACACUAGCAGUAGCUUGUUAAGGUUAACCAGUCACUAGUUUUUAAAUGAACUGCACUGACAGAAUGAGUGGAGAAUAAGAGCGAACUUCUUCAUUCAGAUGAGUAACGUACUGCAGCUCAAAUCAGUAAUUCAUGAGUCAAAGCUCUAAAACUUUUUUCCUAACAAUGAUAAGAUUAAUAUUCCUGUGAAAAUUAUAACAGUACAGUUUAACAUGUUACAUUUUUAAUACUAACACUGUAUUAACUUUGAGGUAACUGAUGCAGUGUUUUGAGACAUACUUCAGGUCAAAUCUCACAGCGUAUGUUCAGUGUCCAUCAGCAGUAUUUGCUUGUGAUUAAAAUAUGGUGAUGUUCAGCAUUUUCACUUCAUAUGGAGUGUUUUAUUCAGCAGCUGAUCACAGAUCUGUGUUACUGCACUGAGUAAAAACACCUCAUGAAGUCU